GCCACCCCUUGGAUAGGCUCCGAAAUGGCUGGGGGAGCUACCCUUAGGGGCAAUGCAAUGACAACCCCUUAUGUGUCAUCGAUAUCGACCAAGUCCAUGCUAGAAGUCCUAGUUGAUCUACUGGGGGUAGGUGGAGUUGGUGGUGGUGAAGUGAUGGAAGCUACCAGCUUCAUCUUCUUCCUCGAUGAACCCUCUCCAAAAUCAGAACUUGGUCUCUUCUUCAGGAGAGUCGACUUUAUCGAUCCGAAGUUGGGCCUCAUCACUGC
rnacentral:lncRNA from 1 species